UCGGAUGUGGUGCACGGUGCACGUCAGUUACCACUAUCGCUCGCUGUGCGUAUAGGCUGUAAGCUGGAGCCCGGGGUUCGACUCCCCGCAUCUGAA